AUUGAACGCUGGCGGCAGGCUUAACACAUGCAAGUCGAGCGAGCGGCGGACGGGUGAGUAAUGUCUGGGAAACUGCCUGAUGGAGGGGGAUACCUACUGGAAACGGUAGCUAAUACCGCAUACCAUCGGAUGUGCCCAGAUGGGAUUAGCUAGUAGGUGGGGUAAAGGCUCACCUAGGCGACGAUCCCUAGCUGGUCUGAGAGGAUGACCAUCCAAACGGGGACGGAGACACGGCCCAGACUACUACGGGAGGCAGCAGUGGGGAAUAUUGCACAAUGGGCGAAAGCCUGAUGCAGCCAGGCCGCGUGUAUGAAGAAGGCCCUAGGGUGGUAAAGUACUUUCGGUCGGGAGGCGUUACCGACAGAAGAAGAACCGGCUAACUCCGUGCCAGCAGCCGCGGUAAUUC
rnacentral:rRNA from 1 species